UCAUGUAUUCACAGUGUUGGCAGCAGCAAGGACGGAGGAGAACAUGGAGUCUGGUCGUUGCUUCAGCACAUCUGGAUUGCCGAACUCUACUGCCUGUUGGACACAACAACACAAAGAAAGCUCAGUGUUGAUGCGAUGUGCGAUGGUGAGCAUGGUGCAAUCACUGACGGCGUCUUUGAUGGUGUUCUGGAUCAGAGCAUGUGGCCUCAUCCAAAAGAAUGAUCUGCAGGACAACAGGAGGGACGAUUAGUGUGGAAGAAAGGACUGGUGAGGGAGGAGUCUGCCGAUCGGCAGACAUUAUUAAAUACAUAACAUGUUUAAAAAACCAAACAAGCAAUCAUGCUGCUUGAACAUGUUGCUGAUGGAAAUACUGAAGAGGAAUCCCAAUCAUUAGUCUGAUUGGUGAACAUUGUGCAGCCUGUAGCAGCAGGGACGCAGCAAAUUCACUGUUUUAGCUGUCAGACUUUCAGACAUUUUACACUGAAAACCCACUAUAACAUCAGCCUUAGAAUAGAAAAUCACUGAAACAAGUAAAUUAUGAUUUCAACCAUCAUGACUAGUGAGUAGAUAAAAACACACCUGCCAAAGUCUGUAAUAGAUCUGUGUCUGUAAUAGAUGUAUUGUAAUAGAUAAUAGUCUGUAAUAGAUAAAUGUGUCUGUAAUAGAUAAAUGUGUUGUAUUCUUGUUUUCUGCUUGCUUCAGAAACAUAGUUGAGAUGUAAAAGAUCCCUAAAAUUCAUCCCAAAACACAGAUACGUCUGACACAUUUUGAAUGGGUAGAAAAUUUAGAAAAUGAGCCGAAAACUCUGUGAAACAUAUUUAAGCUUUCAAAAGUCCAGGGGUCAAUGAAUAAUUCAGAUAAAUUAGUUUAACUAUGAUGUGAAUUGUCAUAUUUAAAAAGACGACAAUCCCAAAUUCAGCAGAGAAAAAACUCAAAGACAAAAGCUGAUCUACAAUGGAAUAAAUAUUUGAAAUCAACACA